rnacentral:rRNA from 1 species
ANGCCAGAGAACUACAAGCAAAGCUUAAAACUCAAAGGACUUGACGGUACCCCAUAUCCACCUAGAGGAGCCUGUCCUAUAAUCGAUAACCCCCGCUUUACCUCACCAUUUUUAGUUAAUCAGUUUGUAUACCUCCGUCGUCAGCUUACCACGUGAGCGAACCACAGUGAGCUUAAUGCCAGAACGCCAAUACGUCAGGUCAAGGUGCAACUAACAAAAUGUGGAAGAGAUGGGCUACACUCUCUAAUUUAGAACAUACGAAAAACUUUAUGAAACCUAGUUAGAAGGCGGAUUUAGCAGUAAAAAGAAACUAGAGAGUUCUUUUUAAUAAGGCACUGGGGUGUGU